rnacentral:sRNA from 1 species
GACUAAGGUUCGACUUGAGCGCCAGCGAGAGAGCGUUGCCGCAGGCAACGACCCGAAGGGCGAAGCGCGCAGCGCUGAGUAAUCCUUCCCCCACCACCA